GCGAAAACUUUACAAUGCCGGCAACGGCGAUAAGGGGACNUCGAGUGCCAGGUUACAAAUCUGGCUGUCGCNAUGCCUAAAAAGCAUUGCAUAGCAAGGGCCGUGCAAGACCGAUGCCAGCCGCCGCGGUAACACCGGCGGCNCGAGUGGUAACCGUUAU
rnacentral:rRNA from 1 species